UUAGUACUCCCUCUGGCCGGAAUUACUUGUCAAAACAUUACAUGUAUCUAGACGCUUCUUACACAUAGAUGCAUCCGUAUUUGGGCAAAUCUGAGACAAGUAAUACCGGUCGGAGGGAGUAGAAA
rfam:Brachypodium distachyon strain Bd21 chromosome 5, whole genome shotgun sequence.